UAGGCCAAGGUUUGAGGAGAAAGUAGUGAAAGCCAAUGGAACCUUUCUUCUGGUUCUCAGUAACCAGUAGCACCAUGAGCAGGAAGAAUAUUGUAAACUCAGGACAGGAAACAGGACACGGAGAAAAGAAGGUCGGUGUUUUGAUUGAGUUUAGUAAAUGUUGAGGAUAUCCUCCUAGAGCUGAUCUAUUAGCGAGUAUGAUAGAGGAGAAGGUUCCUGGAAUCCGUGUCUCUAAGAAACCCUACAUAAAAACCUCCUUUGAGGUUUGGGUCGGAGGAGAACUCCUCUUCUCCAAACUCAAGAUGAAAACCUUCCCGGAUUUCUCCGCCAUUGUUGAUUCCGUCUACAAUACAGUUGUCAAAGGAGAUCACGUUCAGGAGAUAUCAGAUACAUCCUUCUGUGCUCCUAGUUAUCAGGGAUGCUGCUAUGUUAGCUAAUAAUCAAUUUAUCAAUAAAACAAACAAUCAAUCCAUCAUUCAUCCAAACAGUCCAAAGGGCCAUAUACAAGUAAGAGGAAAACCGAGUCCGAAAGUUUGGGCCAGGCAGGAUGAAAUACUGUAUAUGUGAAUAUAUUUAUAAAUACAUUUAUUUUUUAAAUAAAACCAAAUAAUAUUGUUU